rnacentral:SRP_RNA from 1 species
AUCCGGGAGGUGCUGGACAGAGACGAUCGCAGACCCGGUCAGGUCCGGAAGGGAGCAGCCGCGGCGAACCGAUCUGGGUCAGCGCCGACCAGGAAUCA